rnacentral:rRNA from 1 species
GUGAGACACUAUAGCUUGUCACUACCUCCCCGUAUUGGGAUUGGGUAAUUUGCGCGCCUGCUGCCGUCCUUAGAUGUGGUAGCGAUUUCUCAGGCUCCCUCUCCGGAAUCGAACACUGAUUCCCCGUACCCGUCAAAGCCUGGUUUGUCCUUUAAACAAACAACGAGCUGAUAGGUAAGAAACACCUCUGCCUGGCCACUAGAAAAAGCAAACCUGAAAGGUCCUAUGAAAACCUUGUUAAUUCACUUUCCCGCGCCCUUGCGGGCACCUGCUAGCGGUCGAUUCUCAAUCCCCCUGAAUAUAUUGCUACAUCCAGGAAAACUGAG